GGACGGAUAAGGGUGUUUAUGCCGCAUCUGGCAUUCAGUGCAAAUGCCAGAUGCGACGCUGACGCGUCUUAUCUGGCC
rnacentral:sRNA from 1 species